rnacentral:rRNA from 1 species
GAUGAACGCUAGCGGGAGGCCUAACACAUGCAAGCCGAGCGGUAUUGUUUCUUCGGAAAUGAGAGAGCGGCGUACGGGUGCGUAACACGUGUGCAACCUGCCUUUAUCUGGGGGAUAGCCUUUCGAAAGGAAGAUUAAUACUCCAUAAUAUAUUGAACGGCAUCGUUUAAUAUUGAAAGCUCCGGCGGAUAGAGAUGGGCACGCGCAAGAUUAGCUAGUUGGUGAGGUAACGGCUCACCAAGGCGAUGAUCUUUAGGGGGCCUGAGAGGGUGAUCCCCCACACUGGUACUGAGACACGGACCAGACUCCUACGGGGGGCAGCAGUGAGGAAUAUUGGUCAAUGGGUGCAAGCCUGAACCAGCCAUCCCGCGUGAAGGACGACUGCCCUAUGGGUUGUAAACUUCUUUUGUAUAGGGAUAAACCUACCCUCGUGAGGGUAGCUGAAGGUACUAUACGAAUAAGCACCGGCUAACUCCGUG